rnacentral:rRNA from 1 species
AACGAACGCUGGCGGCGCGCCUAACACAUGCAAGUCGAACGCGAAAGGGGGCAACCCUGAGUAAAGUGGCGCACGGGUGAGUAACGCGUAGGUGAUCUACCUUCACGACCGGGAUAACCAGCCGAAAGGUUGGCUAAUACUGGAUAGAGCGCAGGAAUCACAAAGAUUCUUGCGGGAAAUGAGGGCGUAGCAAUACGCUCUUGCGUUGAGAUGAGCCUGCGUCUCAUUAGCUAGUUGGUAGGGUAAAAGCCUACCAAGGCAUUGAUGGGUAGCUGGUCUGAGGGGACGGAUCAGCCACACUGGAACUGAAACACGGUCCAGACUCCUACGGGAGGCAGCAGUGGGAAUCUUGCGCAAUGGACGAAAGUCUGACGCAGCGACGCCGCGUGAGUGAAGAAGG